UUGGAUCUUGGGAUUUGCGGGCUUUUAACGAGUCGGCUAUCCUUAAAUGUAUUAGCAGAGCUUUUGUUGCUAACCUCUGGUGUGAUAAUUAUCUACGCCAUUGCAAGGCAACAUAUUGAGGGCUUAGCUUCUAAUCGUCCUUAAUGGACAAUACUUGACAAUCUGACCUCAAAUCAGGUAGGAUUACCCGCUGAACUUAA
rnacentral:misc_RNA from 1 species